GAAAUGCGAUAAGUAAUGUGAAUUGCAGAAUUCCGUGAAUCAUCGAAUCUUUUAACGCACAUUGCGCCCUCUGGCAUUCCGGGGGGCAUGCCUGUCCGAGCGUCAUUACGCACCCUCAAGCCCGGCUUGUGUGAUGGGCCCCGGCGUCUCGUUCGCGAGACGGGCCCGAAAGGCAGCGGCGGCGUCGACCCGAUGAGCCCGAGCGUAUGGGGACUUCUGUCACACGUUCGCGGUGCGGACCGGCGCCUGCUUGACUUUUCUGAUUAUCCAGGUUGACCUCGGAUCAGGUAGGGAUACCCGCUGAACUUAAGC
rnacentral:misc_RNA from 1 species